ACCGGCGCCUCAAGUGGUAGUCGCUUUUAUUGGGCCUAAAACGUCCGUAGCCGGUCUGAUACAUUCGUGGGUAAAUCAACCAGCUUAACUGGUUGAAUUCUGCGAGGACGGUCAGACUUGGGACCGGGAGAGGUGUGGGGUACGCUCAGGGUAGGGGUAAAAUCCUGUCAUCCUGAGCGGACCACCUGUUGCGAAGGCGCCACACUAGAACGGAUCCGACGGUCAGGGACGAAGCCUAGGGGCACGAACCGGAUUAGAUACCCGGGUAGUCCUAGGUGUAAACGCUGUGGACUUGAUGUUGGGGGUGCUCCGAGCACUCUCAGUGUCGAAGCGAAGGUGAUAAGUCCACUGCCUGGGAAGUACGGUCGCAAGGCUGAAACUUAAAGGAAUUGGCGGGGGAGCACCGCAACCUGAGGAUUGUGCGGUUUAAUUGGAUUCAACGCCGGAAAACUCACCAUAGCCGACGGACAAAUGAAGGUCAGUGUAAUGAACUUACCGGAUUGUUCGAGAGGUAGUGCAUGGCCGCCGUCAGUUCGUACCGCAAGGCGUUCUGUUAAGUCAGAUAACGAACGAGACCCUCAUCUCUAUUUGCUAACUAGAUCUCCGGAUUUAGUGCACUAUAGAGAGACCGCUGGCGCUAAGUCAGAGGAAGGGGAGGGCAACGGUAGGUCAGUAUGCUCCGAAUGCUAUGGGCUACACGCGCAAUACAAAGGACGGGACAAUGGGCUGCUGCUCCGAAAGGAACGAUAGCUAUCCCGAAACCCGUUCGUAGUUCGGAUUGAGGGCUGUAACUCGCCCUCAUGAAGCUGGAUUCCGUAGUAAUCGUGUUUCAAUAUAGCACGGUGAAUAUGCCCCUGCUCCUUGCACACACCGCCCGUCAAACCAUCUUAGUUGGGGGUGGGUGAGGCUGCGCUUUAUGGCGUAUUCGAGCCUGCCUUCGACAAGGAGGGUUAAGUCGUAACAAGGUAUCUGUAGGAGAUCGGAAGAGCG
rnacentral:rRNA from 1 species